AAACAAUUUAAAGCACUGCAACAAAUUCUUGAUGAGAGAAAAGCUGAGAUGGUCUCAAAAAAAGCGAGUAACGAUAGUAAAAAAUCAAAUAUAAAGAGAACACAGAAAGCAGUGAAGAACUUACCUGAAUCUUCCAAUCCCAGAAGUGGAACUCCUAAUCCUGCUGUUGUAAAGAAAGUUCCACUGAAAACAUCACCAUUGCCAGCUACCCGCAAAUCAUGGCCAUCUGCACCUUCACCA
rnacentral:misc_RNA from 1 species